rnacentral:rRNA from 1 species
AACGAACGCUGGCGGCAUGCCUAACACAUGCAAGUCGAACGAGACCUUCGGGUCUAGUGGCGCACGGGUGCGUAACGCGUGGGAACCUGCCCUUAGGUUCGGAAUAACUCCCCGAAAGGGGUGCUAAUACCGGAUAAUGUCUUCGGACCAAAGAUUUAUCGCCUUUGGAUGGGCCCGCGUUGGAUUAGCUAGUUGGUAGGGUAAAAGCCUACCAAGGCGACGCUCCAUAGCUGGUCUGAGAGGAUGAUCAGCCACACUGGGACUGAGACACGGCCCAGACUCCUACGGGAGGCAGCAGUGGGGAAUAUUGGACGAUGGGCGAAAGCCUGAUCCAGCAAUGCCGCGUGAGUGAUGAAGGCCUUAGGGUUGUAAAGCUCUUUUACCCGGGAUGAUAAUGACAGUACCGGGAGAAUAAGCUCCGGCUAACUCCGUG